CUGGCCCGGCCCGGCCCGGCCAAGUCACACAGCCGAGGCCGAGGGCCGAGGUCCCCCAUGGCACAUAGGUGCGUGCAGGCCAGGCAGGCUGUCAACUUCACCUGAAAGUUUAAAAAAAAUACUUUGUCCCUGGCGGUCUCAGGCAAUUACUCAUUAUGAUUAGUUCUAUGCUGGGCCUGGCCCAAUCACAUACACAGCAGAGGGCCGAGGUCCCGCCCUUGGGUCUCGGCUGUCAAUCAGUCACGUCACGUCACUUAUUGACACUGACAGAAAAAUGGAGAAAAAACGGAAAGGAGGCGCGGAGAAAGUCCGAGAUAAAAAGAGAAAAGCCCUAGAGGCAAACUCUGCAACAUGUGCUAAAAUAUCGGACAUGUUUGCCGCGACAGCUGGCCCGGCUUCAUUAGCACCUGCGACGGUGGAAAUUGCGGCGGCGGAGGCUGAGGAGGAUGUCGGUGAUGAUGGGGACGGAGAGGUGACUGAAUGGCGGCCGAGGCCAAGCGCAGAGAUGGGUGGCGCUGGCGGCGGCCCGGCCCCGGGGCCGAGCUCAGCCUCAGACGAAGUGGCGGCGGUAAGAAGUUGAAAUUUAAGUUUGUGUUGAUAAAGAAAUAUUUGUUAAGCUAGAUUCCUAAACUUUAACACAGUAUGUAGUUUCCUAACAGUUAGCUCCUGCGUUAUAACAACAUGUUGUACAGAGUAAUCUAGACUGAGCCCGGUCAAAGUGGCUAUUUUAGCUAACACAACAGUUAGCCCACUAAACAUUUGCUAGCUUUUCUUUGGGGAGUUAAAUAGCUCUGUUGACUGUGUAUUGAAAGAGCAUCACUUUGCUAUUGCUAUUUGAACAACAUUAAUGUCAGGAAGCUGUCAGUGUUUAAUUGCUUUAUUAAUUUAUUAGGCUUUAUGGGUAAACAGCUUUUUUGGGACAUGAAAACAUAGAUAAAACUUGUUUGUGAGCCAGCUUAAUAAACAAAAUUUAGACAAACAUGUAUUCCCUGGAGAAAACAUGUGUUCUAAUAUUUCUUUUGUGUGUGUGUGUGUGUGUGCGCUAUGAGUAGACUUUGUGUCCAAUUUACAGUGUUAUUUUAGCUUGCUUGCUAUUAUGUUAUAGUUUGCAGGUGUUAUAGCUUACAGUUAUUAUUUAUUAUCAUGUAAUAGUGAAAUAUUGCUAUUUCUAAUUGCUAAUAAUGAUUAUUCAUUAGUAGGUAACCAGAGAAAUAACACUAGUGAAAUUAAUGCUCCUGUCUCUCUCUCUUUCUCUAUGUUUAGUCAAGUCAGACUGUUGGAGUAGGAGUGGAGGAGUCACAGGAAGAUCAGGCAGUUGUAGACUAUUUUAGCCGCCCUCAUUCCACAAAAAGGCAGGAAUUCUUUAAGUUUCACCCACAGCAGAAUGCCACAAACCCUGUCAUCCAGAGGCUCUUCACAAGAACGGACGACAUGGCAUGGAAAUGGCUGACUUAUAGUGAUGAACGUAAUGCUUUAUUUUGUUUUCUUUGCCUUGCUUUUAGCAAGCCCAAUGACCCAAGUUCUUUCAUUGGAGGCAUGACAGACUGGAGGCAUGUGCACCAAAGAAUAGAGGAGCAUGAGAGAGGCAUGGCACAUAGACAGUGUGCUGAGGCAUAUGUAUUAAACUGCUCCAGAGCAAGUGUUGAUCACCUCCUUGAGGGAAGACAGCUGAAAGGACACCGUGAGCAGGUGAAGAAGAGACGUCAGGUGUUGGAACGUGUGGUGGAGGUUGUGAGAGUCUUAGGGAAGAGAGGCUUAAGCUACAGGCAGGAGCACAAUGAAGCUGCGUACACCUUGGACAUCAACAGUCUCGACCAUGGCAAUUUCCUAGAACUUAUUAUAUUGUUGGGGAAAUAUGAUGUGUGUUUAAAGGAGCACCUCAGCAGUGUAAUUGAGAAAAGCAAGCAGAUCCAUGCUUCAGGCACACAAGGCAGAGGCUCUCUCAUUACCCUCCUGUCCAAAACAACUGUAGAUGCAGUAAUCGAUGCUAUCAAGCAUUUAAUUCAAGAGAGCAUCUCAGCAGACAUCAAAAAAGCCGGAAUGUAUUCUGUGCAGCUCGACACAACACAAGAUGUUACAGGGAGAGAGCAGUGUUCUGUGAUUUUGAGGUUUGUGACGGAUGCAGUCCAUGAAAGGCUGGUUGCAGUCGUACAAUGCAGCACAACUACAGGACAGUCGUUCGUGACGCUGUUAACAGAAGUCCUUGAGAGUCUGCAAUUGGACAUAGGCCUGUGCAUUGGAAACGCCACAGAUGGAGCCUCUAAUAUGCAGGGUCAAUACAGAGGUUUCUCUGCAUUAAUGGCAUCCAAAAACCCCACCCAUCAGCAUGUGUGGUGCUAUGCACAUGUCUUGAACCUUGUAUUGUCCGAUACCACCCAUAGCGUCAUUGAAAGUGGAUCACUAUUUGACCUGCUGAACGACAUUGCCGUAUUCAUCAGGGACUCAUACACAAGAGUGAGUGUGUGGGAGACCGAGAGCCAGGACGAGAGGCACAAACGCAUCUCAACAAUUGGAGAGACGAGAUGGUGGGCUAAACAUCAUGCCCUGAGGAAAGUUUUUGGAAACUUUGGCAGACCUGAUGGCGGCCUUUUUGUUGAAGUGGUGUCCACACUUUCUGCCAUAAUGAAGCUGAAGUCACUUGCAUCAAAUGCAAGAAACAAAGCCAGAGGAUACAGAGACGGCUUACUUCGAUACGAAACUGUGCUCACAGCUCAGUUAUUCCUCCGGGUAUUUGAGUUCACCUCACCACUGUCAAAAUACCUACAGACCGGAGGAAUGGACAUCCUCUCUGCACAUAGGAUGGUCACCACAACACAUGAUUCACUUACAAAGAUAGCAAGAGAUUUCCCGGCCGUCAAAGAUGCAGCUGACUGUUUUGUCCAUUGGGCAAAUGAAAAGCUAGAGGAGCAGGAUGAUCUAGAUUUGGAAGUGGAGGCAGCACUACCUCAGAAAAGGCUAAAGAAGAAGAAAGUCUUGCCAGGAGAGAUGGCCCAGGAUGAAAGCCUCAGUGAUUCAGAGAAGGCCUAUGAGGUCAAUGUUCACCACCAGAUCCUGGAUACAGCUGUUGAGGCCAUGCACCACAGAUUCCUCACUCAUGGCACUCUGUAUGCAGAUUUAUCCCUCCUACAUCCCAAAAACUUCCCCCUCAUCCAGACCAGUGGCGGUGCACUCCCUGUAUCUGCACUUCAAGAACUCAGCAAGUGUCUAGUUGUGUAUGACAGCAGGGCAACUGUUACAGAUCUACAGAUUGAACUCAGAAACUUGGCACAGCAAUGGGACAGGCUGGUACAAUCACAAUUGGAUAACUACGCAACUAAAGCAGUUGAAGAGGAAUCAGAUGGCCAAGAAGAGAUGGAAAUAAUAAGCAAAACCUGUGUGUCUUGCAAAGAGUGCCCCCUGUGCUGCUACAAAAUCCUUCUCAGGUUUAACAUGCUGACUCACGCAUAUCCGCUACUUGGGUUGGCAUACAAGUUUCUGCUAACCCUGUCAAUAACUCAGGUAGCCUGUGAGCGGUCAUUUUCCACCCUUCGCUACAUCAAAAACCGACUGAGGAGUUGCCUGUCUGCCAGCAAACUGGAAGCCUUCAUGUUGAUGGCCAUUGAAAAGGAUGUCCUUGUGUCCCUUGAAACUGACACAGUGAUUGACAGAGUUGCAGAGAAGAGCGAAUCAAUGAAGAAACUGCUUUUAUAAGGUGAGAUUUAUGAUAAAUAAAUACAUUUGUGUUAAAUUAGUGGAUUUAAUAAAAAAUGUUGACAGAAAAUAAUGUUGUUAUUGCUUUGCUCUCUGCUCUCCUCCUCUCUCAGGGUGCCCUUGCUGUUUUCAGUUGCUCAAGUUCCUGCUCAUCCAAUUUCAUUGCCUUGCUACAUAUUUGUUCUUGUGGACUAUUGGAGGGCCAUUCAACAUUUUCUCAACCAGUAUGUAUAUCAGACUGUUGUCUAGCUCUAUUUAUUUUUUUAGUCAUCAGUCCUGUCCUGCUAUAAUGCAAUUGGUUUGUAUCACUCACUUUUUGUGUCUGUCAAACUCUUUUUUUUAAGGCUGCCCUGUCCCCCAGGGGUGUUCCAGGGAUGUGCAUUUCAUUGGUGUGGACUUCACAGGCAUUCUUCAAAUUUGUAAGUUUACAAUACUGUUGUUUUGUGUUCUUGCUGGCAUCCACCUGGAUGGUCAUAAAGCCUACUACUUUUACAGAGUGACUGUAAUGAAUGCAACUAUCCAUUAUUGUAUUACUUUAAAGACACCAAUACUAUCAAUGUAAAUUUUUUGAAACAUUCAAAUUUUCACUGUUCUCUUGACCCACCUGGCCUCUCUUUCUCUCCCCUUAGGUAAUUUUUGGAGUGAAGGAUUGCCUUCCCCUGAUGUGGAGUUCACGUGUGUUCUUUUUGUUUCAUUGUGAGUUUACUAAAUAGCUCUUAUUUUGAUUAUAGAAGAGACAGUAUCAGAUGAAUCUAUCAUAUCUGACUGCUCCUUUCUGUCUCCCUCAGAGCACCAAGGUCCAUGCAGCCUUUUGUCUCAGCAUAUGGUGCCACUUUGACUUACUGUGUUAUAAUUUGGUGUGUUCUAGUUAGUGUAAAUAAGAUAAUACAUAUAUUGUGUAUACUUCCUGUUGUUGUUGUUCUCUGUUCUUGCAUUUUUUGCUGACUGUGAGACGGUUCAAACUGUACAUAUUAUAAGCAUUAGUCAUUUCAGAGGAGAUUUGACCUAGCUGCAAAACCUCCAUUGUGCCCAAACACAAAUGCAGAACCCUCUCUUCUUCAAAGUCCUGUAAUCUGCCUUGUUUUUUUGAGUGUAAACAUUUUGUAAGCGUCUAAUCACGAGGAUCUAAUAGUUUUUUUAAUCUCCACUCCUGUUUUUACAUGUGGCCAUUGAAAGAACAAAAGGUUAU